rnacentral:ribozyme from 1 species
AAAAACAUUAAACUUUUGCAAACGAAACGAGAAGGCUUUUUUUAGAAGUUGUUUUGAUUUUUGUUUUGAUUUUUUUUUUUUUGUUUUUUUUUUCUGGUUUGUUUGGAGAGGCUAUGAGGCAGUAAAAAACAAAAGGGGAAAGCGAAGGGGGUUGAAACAGGAAAUAAAAG